CAUCCAGUUUAACCAGAGGCACCCAGAGCAGGUGACACAGGAAAGCAUCCAGCAAAUACAACUACUGUUCUUGACAAACACGUGAUUUACAAAAUGAAGAAUAAAGAAUUAUGCCAGCUAGAGAGAGAGAGAAGGAAGAUGAAACAAGCACAGUAAUACACAGGAGGCAAAAAGAAAGAGCAAGAACAUUAUGUUCAUCAGCCACGGACCCAAAUUAGCUUGGGAAAGAGAUGUGGAAAUUGGAUUAACUCCUAUGAAAACAUCAGGGAAUUAUUAGUGCCCAAAGGACUCACCUGCAGCAUGGACCUGGAUGUGGCUGGAAAAGCCUUUGUUCCCCAUCCCACUCUGUACCUGGUUUAGCUCCGUUCCCAGCAGGGCCCAACCCACGGCUCAGCCCUGGAGCAUUCCCUCAUCGGGAUCCAUUCCUGCCUGGAAUUCCGAAACACCAGUGACAGUGGUUCUCUUGGACUUGUGUCAACCUGUGCCAGUGCUUUCCUGGGAUUUGGACACAGGAAUAUGUGAGGAUGCUCUUGCUCUUCCUUCUCCACCCCGCUUCAUCCCAUGAACUGCUUACACGAAACCAGGAAAACUCGGCAAGAGAGGAGAAAAAAAUCGGUCUGGACUGAAAGCAAACUACUCCUGCCCCCCCAGCAGUGCCGUCAUCCACCGAGGGAAGGAAGCGGGGCCACGGAAACACCGGGAAGUACAACACCUAAACGCUCCCAGGAGCUUGG